UCAAACUGCCGCUCCUAAGUCAACCAACACUCAUUGCUUUCGUGUCUCCGAGCGGCGGCGAAGACACGGUCCUUGAGAGUUUGGUGUCCCUGCGCCACCACGGAAUCCUUCUCCUCCGUUUGCGGAGAACAAUUUCGUGGGAUCACUGGCUGAGCCAGCUAGUCUCCCCGCUGAGGUGAUCGGCGGCUGAGCAGCUAGCAUUCGCAGGGUGGUCUUGCGGCGACGGAGUUGGACGACUGGGCUCGUCCUUGGGCUCCGCAUUAGCCUCGGCGCCACGCCGCACUGAGUCGCCAGCAGCUUGCACUUCUGAAGCGUUGCCAUGUCUGUCCAGGUGCACUAACAGCUCAGCAAUCUGGAGUAUCAAAAAUCUGCAUUCAGGGUGAUGAAAUUCCAGAAGGAACAGAGCAAAUUCAAAUAUAAACAGAGCUCCCAACUUGUCAUUGCCUAGGGAGACAUCAACUGAAGCACAUAAAAAUUAUAAUCAGCAGUAGAAUCGCAUAUCUCUUGAUCCUUCUGUAAUUGCUCCUCACAGAAACUCAGGAACAAUGAAGCAGAGAAUGCUUCUCACACCUUUUCAAAGACUUUCCCUCUAACCUUCCGUUCUUCCAGUUCAAGGACUUCAUCUGAAGGAGCAGCAGCAGAACUAGUUUUGCAUUCUGUUUCAGAAACUUGUGUGUUAAAGGGACUUUAUAUCUAAUCCUACAACAUUAAAGAAAAGGCUCAUGGUAGUUGGGCUUGCAAUGCUUCUUCUUUAUCCAUUUCUGGUCAUUUUCAUGCUGGUGCUGGUGUAUCUCUUCCUGAGGCAUGCUGACCUGUUCUCAAAGGUCGCCGAGUUUAGGGCUAGCAAAACAGGUACAUGAUAUGACCCGUUUAUUCUAUGCAUGUUUUUUUUUAUAAUAAGGUUCAUCUAAGCGUCAUAAAGAAUAAUUUCAUAUAUAGGAUAAACGAGUACCUGUUUAUUUGCCAGGUACCUGUUUUGCCAACCCUAGUCGAGUUUGUCCAAGUGAAUUUUUAGGGAAUAUAAUGAGGUAAUUAAUAUUUUUGUUGCUAUUUUAUUGAGCUCAUCCAAAUGACUUUAGUA